AGGGCACCACCAGGAGUGGAGCCUGCGGCUUAAUUUGACUCAACACGGGAAAACUCACCCGGCCCGGACACUGGAAGGAUUGACAGAUUGAGAGCUCUUUCUUGAUUCAGUGGGUGGUGGUGCAUGGCCGUUCUUAGUUGGUGGAGUGAUUUGUCUGGUUAAUUCCGAUAACGAACGAGACUCUAGCCUACUAAAUAGAUCGUCGGCUUACAAACGCCGGCGAGACUUCUUAGAGGGACAGGCGGUGAUUCAACCGCACGAAACAGAGCAAUAACAGGUCUGUGAUGCCCUUAGAUGUCCGGGGCCGCACGCGCGCUACACUGAAGUGAUCAGCGUGCAUUUCAAACCUACUCUGUCAAGAGUGGGGAACCCAAUGAACCUUCUUCGUGAUUGGGAUAGGGGAUUGUAAUUAUUCCCCUUGAACGAGGAAUUCCCAGUAAGCGCGAGUCAUAAGCUCGCGUUGAUUACGUCCCUGCCCUUUGUACACACCGCCCGUCGCUACUACCGAUUGAAUGUUUU
rnacentral:rRNA from 1 species